ACAGAUAUCCGGGUCCUCUGGGAAAUUAGGGUUUUCCUAGUUUCCUUAUUUAAACGGAAAUCGACAGUGUGAAUUUCGGUUCCCACACAAUGGCUAUACUAGAGAAAGCAAGAGUUGCUAAAAUGUGCUGUUCAAAAAUACACAGCAGAACAACUUUGUACGAUGUAUUUUGAGUUUGAUAUUGGCUAUACUGUUGACUAAGCAACACAUCAAUUUUCUUGUCGCCGUUGGGAUUUUACAGGUAUGUGGAACAAAUUUUUAUGAUCUUUAAUAUAUAGGUUUCGUUUGUAUUGUUGUAUACAUUUUCCUAAUGAUUCGCUGAUAUUUAAACUAUGCUUUGUGUUGCUGAUUUUAUUUUAACUAGUGUUUAUCCCGUGCUAUGCACGGAGAUAUUUUUUCUUGCAAAAAAAAACAAACUACUUAGUUCACAACAAUAAAAAUGUUUUUUCUAUUUGAUAGCAAGAAGUAAAAAAUGGAAAAAUAACUAAACCUAAAUAACAUAAAUGAUAAGCUAUACAUAAGACUUGCCCAAACAUGCAAACUUGAUUAAAUACUCUAUCUAAAUGGUAUGUUGUGAAAGCAUAGUUGAGAAAUUGACUAUAUAUGCGAGAAAGAAAGAGAAGUAGAGAACCAUCAGAAUACCUUUGCGAUUAAGUACAUUUAUGAAGUUCAUCGACUAAAUGCCUAUUUUCCUGGCAUUUAAGAGGAUGCACUAAAGUUCAAGAAUAAUUUGAGAUAUCAAACACCUGAAAAAAAAAAGUUGAUAGCAAGGACGGUUGACCAAUUUAUCAAGAGACUGAAACAAUUACCAUAGAUAUGUAGCUAAUAUAUAAAGAUCUCUAGUAAUUAUGUUUCAGAAUUUAUUCAUUAUUCCCAAGGCAACACCAUUUGUCAUCUUCAACACUUCAUGUUCUCUAGUCCCUACAACUAUAUAUAAACCUUUAUUUCUUACCGGAAAUCUGAAACACUGAAACUACAUGGGAAAAUGUUUUUCCAAGUGUGUUUAUAACAUAUAUCUGCUAUAUAUAGUAGGAAUACGUAGUAUUAUGCGUUUUAACAAUCUGAUCAUGUAAUGAAUUAAUAGAAGCACUUACCCUUUUUUUUAAGGCCUUCUUGUGAUUUUAUCACAUCAGCAGCUGCUUUUUAUCUUCUUUUUCUUCUCUUUCAGGCGUGUCUUUCAACGAAGUCUCUUUAUAAUAAUGAUAUCCAGCAAUUCAUAUAAUUCAGAUCCACUCUUGCUCGAACCUCUUGGCCCCAAAACCUGUUUCGAUGAAGCAAUAUGAUUCUCAGCCGGCGAAACUGGACGUAGUAGAUCGCGUCACUGGGAUAUGUGAGUUGCUGAAAUCGGUUUUCUCAGCUCUGGUUCGGAACAUUUAGUAAAACCCAAUUGUGAAUGAGGGUUUUGAAACCGAAAGAGUGGACUAUCUCUGUUAUUUGAUUUGGAGUUUUUCUGCUGUUUACAUAUUGAAUCUGAAAAAUAUAUAUGAGUAAUGAAAAUUGAAAAGAAUAAGAUCGUGGACAAAAAUAUGGAUCGUGGAUCAUGGGCUGUUUUGAUAAAGGUUUAUACAGUUUAUGUUUUUUUCCAAAGUGUUAUUUAUUUUUAAUUGUUCUUUAAUUAUUCUUAAAUUUUUUUCCACGUGGCAAAUUCUUAUUUGCCAAGCGACUUGCGCUUUAGUAUAUAAGGAAUUUCAGGAAUAUCAUGCAAACAUACAAUAUGUGUGUUAGAUGACAACCAAGAAAAUGCUGAGAAAUAUGUCCCUGAUUAGUAUUCAAUUUUAUGACUCCAAAACACAAGCAUCCAAUUGGAAUACCCGACAAACGCAAGCCAAAAUGUAGACCUAAAAAAUGUGCAAAAGAAAAGAACCUUUUGAAUUACUACAAAAUCCAGAUAAAUCUACAAGACACGGUAGGAUAUCACUUUUCAGCCGUUGUGGUCAAGCUGGAAAUAUUAAAAGUGGAUGUAAAAAUGUAUCGAUCGUUUUAGAAGGCCCAAAAAAUAGACGCUGGAGACCUCGUAAACAUCCUGCAAAGAUUAACCAAAAGCGUCAACCAAAACCAAGAAAAAAUAAAAAACAAUCCAUUAGUUGGAUCUAGCUCUCAGUCUUUACAAACCGCUCAAUCAAGUUCUGCAUUUUCUUCUGCUUCUAGUGCUUCCUCAACAAUUUGUCACCUCCAGCCAACCAGCCAAACAUGUGAAGAAGGCUUCACGUGUCGAGAACAUCCAAAGUGAGUGGAACAUUUUGGAGCCCUUUCACAGAUCAACUUUUCGAAGUAUUUUGGAACCAGAGCUUAUGAUCGGUUUGCCAUUGAUUCACAGCCUCCACAAUAAAUAAAUAAAAAAACUGAAUAGUUGGGUGUCUCUGUUUUUUUUUUGUACUCUUUAUUUUAUCUUAGGCCUCUUUUCUUUUUAAGCUUUACUUUAUGUUAGGUUGCUACCAUAUGAAACAUAAUGGAUUAGUUUGAUUUGAA